UACAGAGGUCCCAAGCGUUGUUCGGAUUCAUUGGGCGUAAAGGGUGCGUAGGCGGCGCGGUAAGUCGGGUGUGAAAUCUCGGAGCUUAACUCCGAAACUGCAUUCGAUACUGCCGUGCUUGAGGACUGGAGGGGAGACUGGAAUUUACGGUGUAGCGGUGAAAUGCGUAGAUAUCGUAAGGAAGACCAGUGGCGAAGGCGGGUCUCUGGACAGUUCCUGACGCUGAGGCACGAAGGCCAGGGGAGCGAACAGG
rnacentral:rRNA from 1 species